rnacentral:snRNA from 1 species
UCCAUCUACAGGAUGCUU